CCUUAUUCUAGGCCUUUUGGCUAAGAUCAAAGUGUAGUAUCUGUUCUUAUCAGCUUAUUUAUAUAUUUUUCCUCUUUCUUUCUUUCAAACCAUG
rnacentral:snRNA from 1 species